rnacentral:rRNA from 1 species
UACGUAGGGCGCAAGCGUUAUCCGGAAUUAUUGGGCGUAAAGAGCUUGUAGGUGGUUUGUCGCGUCUGCUGUGAAAAUCCGAGGCUCAACCUCGGACUUGCAGUGGGUACGGGCAGACUAGAGUGUGGUAGGGGAGACUGGAAUUCCUGGUGUAGCGGUGAAAUGCGCAGAUAUCAGGAGGAACACCGGUGGCGAAGGCGGGUCUCUGGGCCGAUACUGACGCUGGAGGAGCGAAAGCGUGGGGAGCGAACAGG